CGUCGGUUCCGUCCGCACAUCUGGUUGAGGGGCGUCUCCUGUCCCCAUCUGUCAUCGUGAAUGGGGCCGUGCCGACGUGUCAGACGGGACGAACGGGGGAAGUCGGUCCAGAGUCACUGCGCCGCGCGGUUGUGGGAGCAAGCCGUGGGCUAGGUACCGCUCCAGGUCAGAUCAUGGUUGGCACUGAAGAGUGCGGCGACACUACAGAGCUGUGAACGAAGACGGUGAACGGCGAGAUGUGGUGACCGCUUGUCUGACCAGUGCCCAAAGUCGUGAUCUACCGCUGGGGUCAGUGCGUGAGAAGCUGGACUCGGCACCGACGGAGGACGCAGCUCGACGAGGAAGCUAUGCUGUGUUGAGGGACGUCUGCCGGUUACGACCGAAAGGUUUCCGACGGGACUUGGCAGAACCCACAACAGCAGUAUGAGCCUGGCGUGGAGUUAAUGCGUAAUUGCUCGCAUGAGCAACCGAAGAGCGACUUCCAGGCGAAGCUGCCGCAGAAUUCCUGGAGAUGCGCUGGGACAUGGAUCAUAGCAAGGUGGCUCUCAGCGGCAGCUGACCGCUGAGAUGUGUCUGAAACAGCCAGAAAAAGACUCGAGUUGUGGUUCCAGGGCACUACCGAACAGAAGGCGGGACCAGCUGUAGGGAGCCUACAGCAAAGCCGUCGUUCUCAAUCUGCUGAACAGACUCCUGCUGCAGAGGAAAAUUGGGGUUCGACAUGUUAGAACUGGGGUUAGACCUGUUACCAGUGCUCGUGUUCGUCACCUGUUGUUUGUCACUGCUGUGCUGCUGCUGUACCUAUGUCAUGCUUGCCACUUGCUAAGCGUUCACAAUGUUUUUUGACUGAAUAAUAACUUUUUUAGUGUUUGUCUUGAUUUGUAACGAGUAUAUCAAGUAUGUUAACCUUUCAUCAAAUGAAGGACUCCACAUAAAAAUAGUAUAGGCUGUGGUGGUACAGACACAUACCAUGCUUGGGAGACUAUUGUGUAUUGAUCUAUUGUGUAUUGAUCUAUAUAUAUAUUGAUUGGGAGACUAUUGUGUAUUGUGUAUUGAUCUAUUUUUUUAUAGUCGUUAAAGCAUCCUGAAAGUCUGGAAAUAAACAGGCAUGGCCAAAUGGAUUGGUUCUAAUUAUUUUCCCGUGUGGUUUUAUCGUUUCCCUAUUGCGGGAAAACAAGUGGACAAUUUUGUUUGUAUGUAAACCAGUAUGUGUGUACAAAUAUUUGUAUGUUUACAGACAAAAUAAAUAGUCAUUGUCAAUUUA